GAUGAACGCUGGCGGCGUGCUUAACACAUGCAAGUCGAACGAUGAAGCCCAGCUUGCUGGGUGGAUUAGUGGCGAACGGGUGAGUAACACGUGAGUAACCUGCCCUUAACUCUGGGAUAAGCCUGGGAAACUGGGUCUAAUACCGGAUAGGAGCGUCCACCGCAUGGUGGGUGUUGGAAAGAUUUAUCGGUUUUGGAUGGACUCGCGGCCUAUCAGCUUGUUGGUGAGGUAAUGGCUCACCAAGGCGACGACGGGUAGCCGGCCUGAGAGGGUGACCGGCUACACUGGGACUGAGACACGGCCCAGACUCCUACGGGAGGCAGCAGUGGGGAAUAUUGCACAAUGGGCGCAAGCCUGAUGCAGCGACGCCGCGUGAGGGAUGACGGCCUUCGGGUUGUAAACCUCUUUCAGUAGGGAAGAAGCGAAAGUGACGGUACCUGCAGAAGAAGCACCGGCUAACUACGUG
rnacentral:rRNA from 1 species